GUUGUUUUGUUGUUUGUUUAUCCUUUAUUUUAUCGCGUCAUCAAGUUGAUGAUGAUUUUUGAUUGCUGAAGGUCUUAAAUUAAGACCAAGGUGGGAAUAGAACUGCAGAUACAUAUUAUACUAAAAUCAACCAUGACAGAUGAAUAUGAUGCCAAGGAUUAGAUUUGGAAAAAGUUCUUCUCCUCUCUACAUUUGAUGAAAGCCAUUUUCAGCAAAGGUGGGAAUAGAACUGCAGAUGCAUAUACCAAAAUCCACCAUGACAGAUGAAUAUGCUGCCAACUACAGUUUUAGAUUUAAAACUCCUUUCUACAUCUGAUGGAAACCAUUUUCAGACCAAGAGCAGAGUGACUACGCCUCAUGAAGCUCAAAUCGAGGACG